rnacentral:lncRNA from 1 species
AUUUGACCAUGUAUGCCGUAUGUUAGCAUCCUAUAGUUCGCAUGUGUGCAUGCAAAAGUUGCAUGCAAGUAUAAUUUCAGUUAGACUCCAGAUAUCCUUGUGAUCCGCACACCACGUAUCCAUCCAAAUACACAUGAUACACCCCUACAAAAAAGAAUACACGUGAUACAUGUCCAGGAACGACUCCAUCUAGUAUUUCCUUGUCACAUGAGGCAUGUACAUUCGACCUCCACAUCUAUCUCUCCCUAAUAAUAAAGCACGGAUUGAUUUUGUCGGGUUCUCCGUCACAAUACGCUUUUUCCAUGAUUUUACACUUUUAGUUUGGAUUUAAAACAUAUUCAAAGUGGUACUAAAUUUUCGUCCGUUCACCUUGCUCCCAUAAUUUUCGUCCAGUUUCGUACGUAACGAUUCGCGAGCACACCUGGGCCUCAACCCGCUGUUAUACGGGCCAGCUGCCGUGGCAGCUCAGGAAAUACAUGCGACCCGAGAGACAAAAAAAAUACGCUGCCAUAAAGGAUCGAACUCCCGACCAACAUCAAAUUUCAAAGCUUAUGGUCAACCAAGCCACCUAAUGAUUGUGUGUCUAAGUUAGGAUUCAUCCAUAUAUUAAUUAGUCCCACCUCGCUUUCUUGCAACUAACCCCAUCAAUUUAUAUUCAUCUAUGAAUUGAAAUUAGUAAGUCUCUCCCUAUAAUAAUAAAGCACGGAUUGACUUUGUCGGAUUCACCGUCACAAUACGCUUUUUGCCAUGAUUUUACGCUUUCAGUUUGAAUUUAAAACAUAUUCAAGGUGGUACUAAAUUUUUGUCCGUUCACCUUGCUCCCAUAAUUUUCGUGCGGUUCCGUACGUAACGAUUCACGAGCACACCUGGGCCUCAACCCGCUGUUAUAUGGGCCGGCUGCCGUGGCAGCUCAGGAAAUACAUGCGACCCGAGAGACAAAAAAAAAAUACGCUGCCAUAAAGGAUCGAACUCCCGACCAACAUCAAAUUUCAAAGCUUAUGGUCAACCAAGCUACCUAAUGGUUGUGUGUAUAAGAUAGGAUUCAUCCAUAUAUUAAUUAGUCCCACCUCGCUUUCUUGCAACUAACCCCACCAAUUUAUAUUCAUCUAUGAAUUGAAAUUAGUAAGCCUCCUCAAGAAUCAAAGCAUAGGUCCCGAUUGCGCUCAAAUAUGAGAAGAAGGAAAAAUCUAGUGGCCCGAAGGAAUAAGGGAAAUAAAAAUUCUCGUGUCUGCCUAAGGAAGAAAAAGAUGUGCCUAGGAAAGAAAUAUGAGAAGAGAGAAAAAUCUAGCGGCCCAAAGGAAGGAAAGGAGCAAUUAAGGAAAAUAAAAAAUCUGAAAGGAAAGCAAUUAACAGAAAUAAUAAUCUGGCGUGUGCCUAAGAAAGGAAUGAAAUUAAGAGGAAUAAUAUCAGGCCUGCCUAACUAAGGAAGGAAAGGAAUUAAGAAACAGAAUAAAACUGUCGGGAAGGAAAGAAAUUAAGCCAAACAUUCUUACUAGGAUGGAAUAUACGAUUAGAAUUAAUAUUUUCAUACCUUUUUGUGUUAUGUGUUAUUUAAAAUGUUUUGCCUUUUGAAAAAUGAU